rnacentral:rRNA from 1 species
AUGGACAGUUUUACCCUCGAUUUGAAAUUUGAGUCGUCUUCCUCCUCCAAAGCUCGCGUCGUCUUCUUCCUACAGGAGCUCGCCCGUCUUCCUUCUCCAGCGUGCCAUCUUCCUCCUGCAGGAGCUCGCGUCAUCCCCUUCGUCCAAGCGCUCGGGCCCCGCCUGCAGGUACUCGCCCCCUUCGUCCAGGCGCUCGGUCCCGAUCCUAGGUGCCCAGUUCGGCCUCCGCUGCGCCCGCUUGGUUGCUGCCGCGCCCGCCCAGCUUGGCCGCCGUUGUGCCCGCUUGGUAGCCGCCCCGCCCAGCUUGGUCGUCGCCGCCCCAGAUUGGUCCUCGCCGCGCACAGCCCACCUAGCUCGCCCCCGCCGCUGCAGCACGUUGCUUCCAGGCAGGUUCUCCUUCCCUCACCCCUUGCACAAUAG